UGGCUCAGGACGAACGCUGGCGGCGUGCUUAACACAUGCAAGUCGAACGGAAAGGCCCUGCUUUUGUGGGGUGCUCGAGUGGCGAACGGGUGAGUAACACGUGAGUAACCUGCCCUUGACUUUGGGAUAACUUCAGGAAACUGGGGCUAAUACCGGAUAGGAGCUCCUGCUGCAUGGUGGGGGUUGGAAAGUUUCGGCGGUUGGGGAUGGACUCGCGGCUUAUCAGCUUGUUGGUGGGGUAGUGGCUUACCAAGGCUUUGACGGGUAGCCGGCCUGAGAGGGUGACCGGCCACAUUGGGACUGAGAUACGGCCCAGACUCCUACGGGAGGCAGCAGUGGGGAAUAUUGCACAAUGGGCGGAAGCCUGAUGCAGCAACGCCGCGUGCGGGAUGACGGCCUUCGGGUUGUAAACCGCUUUCGCCUGUGACGAAGCGUGAGUGACGGUAAUGGGUAAAGAAGCACCGGCUAACUACGUGCCAGCAGCCGCGGUGAUACGUAGGGUGCGAGCGUUGUCCGGAUUUAUUGGGCGUAAAGGGCUCGUAGGUGGUUGAUCGCGUCGGAAGUGUAAUCUUGGGGCUUAACCCUGAGCGUGC
rnacentral:rRNA from 1 species